ensembl:snRNA U1 U1 spliceosomal RNA
UUACUUACCUGGCAGGAGCCGUGCUGUGAUUGGGAAGGUGGUUUUCCCAGGGUGAGGCUUAUUCAAUACACUCUGGAUGGACUGACCCCUGUGAUUUCUCCAAACUUGGGGAACUCACCUGCAUAAUUUGUGGUAGUGUGGGACUGAAUUCAUUCUCUCCCCUG